AUGAUUCAGGUGGCAACAGGGGGACUCUCCACCUGUCCUGGCCACCUCACUGGUGCUCUGGGGAGUCAGCCCGGUAGGGGCCUGGAGGGGCCCACGGUCUGGAGUCAGCUGCUCCAGGGUUCCGAGGCUGGUGGCCUUAGGCAAGCUAUGUCCUACCCUGGCCAGGUGUCCCACCUGCAGACCAGCAGAGCCCACGACCCCACUGAUGUGCGUGGACGGGACUGGUUUGGCCAUGGAGCAAAUCUCUGGGCCCCGGCCUCCUCGUGUCUGGAGGAGAGUGAAGAUCCUGCCUACUCCAGGCUAUUUCGAGGAGCUCGGACAAGUUUAGGGAGCAGACGGCGUGCAGCAGAGAUGGUGUGUCGAGGAGAGUUGCCCCUGUGGGCUCCAGACGGAGGAAGUCAGAGGAGCAGGAGAAAGGGAGGGCCUGGACAUCCAGAUUCCUUGAUUCUUGACAUUUAGAGGGCUGAAUUCCCGUCUCCCACAGAAGGUUGGAGGUGAGGGGAAUA
rnacentral:lncRNA from 1 species